rnacentral:rRNA from 1 species
UACGAAGGGGGCUAGCGUUGCUCGGAAUCACUGGGCGUAAAGGGUGCGUAGGCGGGUCUUUAAGUCAGGGGUGAAAUCCUGGAGCUCAACUCCAGAACUGCCUUUGAUACUGAGGAUCUUGAGUACGGGAGAGGUGAGUGGAACUGCGAGUGUAGAGGUGAAAUUCGUAGAUAUUCGCAAGAACACCGGUGGCGAAGGCGGUUCUCUGGGCCUAUACUGACGCUGAGGAGCGAAAGCGUGGGGAGCGAACAGG